GAUUUCUACUUCCUUGCAAGCAAACCAGUAUGGUGAUAUACAGUUUCAUCCACAUGGCCUCAAGUAUUUCAUAAAUUCUGAAUAUGUGAUACUGGCAUCACUUUGAUCAAGCUCUAUACGUUUCCAUUCAUCAUCUAACUUUCGGUAACCCGUGUACCAUCUCCGAUCAACCUCUUUUGAACACCAAAUACAUAAGCUAUCUCCAUUCGUCUCGGAAACCCGUCACUGUUACUGACCACCAGGAGCAACACUAAACCACCAACCGUCGCUGCAGAAUUUCCAACGCAACUAUGGUCACACGCCACCAUUAACAUAACCAGCACCGCUACAGCUCCACCCGCUACAGCUCCACUGGACGCCGAUAACUCCACCACAGGAUAUCACGACCCCCUAAAAGAACGAGUAUAAUAUCAUUGUGCAUCAUCUUUCAAGGUUCUCAUGGUACUCAGGGUGGGGUGUGAAGAGA